UUGAUCUGCAGUGUAUGAAUGAAGCGGUGAGUGACACUUGACACACAAGUCAGGGCAACACAACCACCAGCAACACUGCUUGUCCUUAACGCCUUAACGGGAGCGCCGAUGGCAGACACUGAUGGUGUUCAAAAGGAACAGUUGAAUCAGAACCCGAGCGGAAACGAGUUUCAGAUUGUGCGGUUUAUGCCAUUCCCAAACUUCAAGCUUCCCGAUGAUUGGGUGGUUGAGACUAAACCCCGUCCCUCUAAACCAACUCACAUUGACAAGUAUUACUAUGAGCCAGGCACCGGAAAGAAGUUUCGCUCUUUGCUAGCUGUUCAGAGACAUCUAGCAGGAGAACCAAAACACUAUGUUACUCCAGAGAGAAUGAUAUCAGAAAAUGAAGACAAUUAUUACUAUGAGCCAAGCACUGGAAAGAAGUAUCGCUCUCUGCUAGCUGUUAAGAGACAUCUAACAGAAGAAACAAAACACUAUGUUACUCCUGAGAGAAUGAUCUCAGAAAAUAAAGACACUCCUACAAAAAUUGAUUCUCAGAGGAAAUUCAAUCUGAGGAAAGAAGACAGAGGAUCCUCCCACAACUUAAGUAGACCACCAGAAAAAGUAAGUUGGGUUCUGUCUGGUCCUGGGGGCUUCUGGAGCCCUUUCGUGGAUGGUACUAUUGUACCAGAAUCUGUAAAGUUGAAAUGGUCCGAAGCAUUUGUACAAUCCAUCCAUCAUGGAGUUAGUAGUGGAGGACUUAAUAGCUAAGGAUAUUCACAUUGGAGAUGACUGGACAUAAUGGUGAGCAAUGUGCUGGCAGAUGUAGCGUAGAUUGUAAAUCGGGUUAUCUACUUGACUAAUCUGUCAGCCAUAAGCAGAGAUUGUUCCAUUUCACUGAUUAUAAUGAUGUAGUUUCUAUCACCGUUUUUUGGGUUGCACCUGGUAAGGGGACAAGGACACUGGUGAAAGAUUUUGAUAUCUCACCACUCUCUAAUCCAGACUGGGAAUAGUGCCAAUUGAGCUAUAAGCCCGUUGGCAGUAGCAUUUUUGGCACCAAAGAGGUAGACACUAGAAUCUACUCUCAGAUCACUUGGCAUUUCACCUUCUUGGGGAGACUUUGAAGUCUGCGGGUUAGACCAAUUUUUUUUCCAAUAGAUUCAACACAUUUGGGAGAGAAGUCCUCAUCAAGAGACAUUU